rnacentral:lncRNA from 1 species
AGCUCAUGUUUUGGCCUCUUCCUCUAAAUACUUGGAUGAAAUGACACCUUUUGUGCUCCAUCAACAUCCUGACACACUACAGAGAGUAUUUAAAUAUGAUAAUGUGAUACUGAAUAUAUUUUGGGGGAGACUAUAUCUAAUUACUAUUUGAUACAACAGUGAAAGAAAACCAAAUAGUGAUAAAUGAUUAAUGAUCAGUUUAUUUACUAUCUGAAUGGUGAUUAAUCAGUAAUUUACUCAAACCCCCCCCCACAGAUGGUGAAAGGAGCUUUCCAAGUGAAACUGAAAGGACAGAGACUUACUUAUUUGCUGAGCGAUGCCCCAUAAGGAUUACUCUCCCAGCUCCAAGGUUUCCAUUCCUCCCCUGUCAGUGAAUACAACAUUUCCCUGUCCCGAUGGAGGUCUGACGAGACGAACAUGCAAUAAUCCGCUCCAGUCGUCCAGAAUCAGCGGGCCUUCGGAGUCCAGGCUCGGUCCUGGGACUCUGUGGCUUUCAUCUCAAUACCUACACAUCACCACUAUUACCUACAGGAUUUCCAGGGAGAUUAAGCUCAGAGCUUCCAUCAGCCACCUGCUGGCUUUACUCUACCACCACCAGAGUCUAGACUCUAGGGAAAUCCUGUCCUAUUGUCAUAUUGGCUUAAUGAAGCUGCACAUUGAU